ACACCCUCAAGCUCUGCUUGGUGUUGGGCGUCUGUCCCGCUUUAUGCGCGGACUCGCCCCAAAAUCAUUGGCAGCGGUCGUGCCAGCUUCUCGCGCAGCACAUUUGCGUUUCUUGAAGUUUGGUGGAUUAGCAUCCAGUAAGCUCUUUUAUG
rnacentral:misc_RNA from 1 species